UCGAACGGCAGCACAGUAAGAGCUUGCUCUUAUGGGUGGCGAGUGGCGGACGGGUGAGGAAUACAUCGGAAUCUACUUUUUCGUGGGGGAUAACGUAGGGAAACUUACGCUAAUACCGCAUACGACCUACGGGUGAAAGCAGGGGACCUUCGGGCCUUGCGCGAUUGAAUGAGCCGAUGUCGGAUUAGCUAGUUGGCGGGGUAAAGGCCCACCAAGGCGACGAUCCGUAGCUGGUCUGAGAGGAUGAUCAGCCACACUGGAACUGAGACACGGCCCAGACUCCUACGGGAGGCAGCAGUGGGGAAUAUUGGACAAUGGGCGCAAGCCUGAUCCAGCCAUACCGCGUGGGUGAAGAAGGCCUUCGGGUUGUAAAGCCCUUUUGUUGGGAAAGAAAUCCAGCCGGCUAAUACCUGGUUGGGAUGACGGUACCCAAAGAAUAAGCACCGGCUAACUUCGUGCCAGCAGCCGCGGUAAUACGAAGGGUGCAAGCGUUACUCGGAAUUACUGGGCGUAAAGCGUGCGUAGGUGGUUGUUUAAGUCUGUUGUGAAAGCCCUGGGCUCAACCUGGGAACUGCAGUGGAAACUGGACAACUAGAGUGUGGUAGAGGGUAGCGGAAUUCCCGGUGUAGCAGUGAAAUGCGUAGAGAUCGGGAGGAACAUCCAUGGCGAAGGCAGCUACCUGGACCAACACUGACACUGA
rnacentral:rRNA from 1 species